GGCCUCAUAGUUCAAGGGAUAGAACGGAAGUUUCCUAAACUUUAAAUCCAGGUUCGAGUCCUGGUGAGGCUA
rnacentral:tRNA from 1 species